AGAGUUGAUCAUGGCUCAGGAUGAACGCUAGCUACAGGCUUAACACAUGCAAGUCGAGGGGCAGCGGGAAGGAAGCUUGCUUCUUGCCGGCGACCGGCGCACGGGUGAGUAACGCGUAUCCAACCUGCCCGCGGCUCAGGGAUAGCCUCGUAGAAAACGAGAUUAAUACCUGAUGGUCUUGUUGGUUGACAUCAAUUGACAAGUAAAGAUUUAUCGGCAGCGGAUGGGGAUGCGUUCCAUUAGGUAGUUGGUGGGGUAACGGCCCACCAAGCCGACGAUCAGUAGGGGUUCUGAGAGGAAGGUCCCCCACAUUGGAACUGAGACACGGUCCAAACUCCUACGGGAGGCAGCAGUGAGGAAUAUUGGUCAAUGGGCGAGAGCCUGAACCAGCCAAGUCGCGUGAAAAGGAUGAAGGUUCUAUGGAUUGUAAACUUCUUUUGUCCGAGGGUAAAAAAGGCCACGUGUGGCUUCUUGCAAGUAUCGGACGAAUAAGCAUCGGCUAACUCCGUGCCAGCAGCCGC
rnacentral:rRNA from 1 species